UACAGAGGGUGCAAGUGUUGUUCGGAAUCAUUGGGCGUAAAGGGCGCGUAGGUGGUCCGGUAAGUCAGAUGUGAAAGCCCUGGGCUUAACCCAGGAACUGCAUUUGAAACUGCCGGACUAGAGUUCAGUAGAGGAUAGUGGAAUUCCCGGUGUAGAGGUGAAAUUCGUAGAGAUCGGGAGGAACACCAGUGGCGAAAGCGGCUAUCUGGGCUGACACUGACACUGAGGCGCGAAAGCGUGGGGAGCAAACAGG
rnacentral:rRNA from 1 species